CGGGGCGGGGCCCGGGGCGGGGGCAGCCGUUGAGGGUCGCGCGCUUCUCCCCCCUCCCUCAGCCGCUCCUUCUGAGGUGAGGGCGUCGCGGUCUGCCUUCUCCCCACAGCGGAGGGAUGGGGGGGUACCGAGGCUCCCGCUGCCCUCCUGGGGUCUUUAUCACCCGCCCCGGGAGAGGAGAAGGGAGGCCGUGAGCGGGGAAGCAAGAGCGUUUCGUUCGGACUGUGGAGGUACCAGCCCAGCAGGCAGGGCCACCCCGGUGAGGUGAGGGGAAGCGGCCGCCGUCUGCUAUCGUGCCGGUUCCUACCGCCAGGAACUGCCAUUUGCUCCCUGGGUAGUCCUAGCCCCGAAGGAAGCACCUUGCAUCCAAGAAAAAUUAUUCCUGCCUGGAGACAUAAAAUAAUUUCUCAGUAACCUCCAGCUUCCUGACUGUUGCAAUACCAAGGACAUCAAGUGAUAGACUUCCUUACAAAGUGUAUGUAUCAACUUAGGCCGGCACAAGAAGAAUUCUUAAGACUGGGCUGAAAGAACCAGUGUUUACUCAAGGCCUCUGAUUUGACACAGGAAAGUCUUAAAACAUAGCACAAUUUGGAUGAUCCCUGGACUUAAACCCAUGAACAGAAAAAGAUAACGGAGCUAUCAGGACCUAUCAUGAGAGCCAAAUUGAGAGAAAAUACCUAAGAAUACCAUAUACAAGCAAAAUCAGAGUGGAUCUAGAAUGAGGGAAGGCAGAGGUACACAAUGCCAUGAAGGAGUUAUAUAUUGGGUACUCUAAUGUAAAGAAGAGAUGAGCACUUCUUUUCAAAAGAGGAAUCAGAAAUUUAUUGAGGAUAUUGUGGCAUCAUUCCUCUAAAUCCCUUAUGCUCCAUUGUCCUCUGUGUUUCUCAGUGGUACCCCCCUGCACAUACUUGUUUUCUUUCUACAUCCCAAUGAUGAUGAAGUCCCGCCUGUCUAAGCUUGUCUCCCAGGCUCAGCAUCUCUAUUUGACCAUGAGCAAAGCUGUCACAGUGGCAAGCAUUGCAAGAAAAAUAUUCUGCCUCUCUUUUUUUUUGUCUGGGAAAACAAGGUGUAAGAACUUACUCAAGGUAUUUUCCUGACGCUGCUACUGUGAAGGCUGCAGGGUGAAGGCUAAUGUUCCUCCCCUGCACCACCAAGAAAUGCAUGUUCCAGCAUCAGAGUGAAAAGCAGGAUCAGAAAAAAAGUAUAAGACCGUCACUCAAAAAUUGCAGGAGAAAAAUUAGAGGGCUUCCUUCCACUUGUGUAGUUUUUAUGUAGACAGUGGAGGCUGGCGUGAAACAUCUGUGUGAGACAGGUGGAAAGGGGAACUUGCUGCUUCCUAGAAGUCCCAUGGUUGAGGAAGUUUUGUGAGAUAGCUUGACUUCAGGGAGUUUCAAAAUGUGUAAUUGAGAUGUGUGGCCCUGGGUAUGUGGUACAUGUGGUACAUCUGAUGCAAAAUAAGCUCCGUGUGAGAAUAUACUGGAGAUGUGAGGAACUCCAGCACCAGCUGUUUACAGCUGUCAGUCUACUCAUGCUGCUCCAAGUGAAUUGCUAAAGUAAACACAGCUUAUGCUGGUUUAUUCACUGCUUGCAGACAGAACAAAAACUGUAAUAGUUUGUGAUGCACCAUAAUUUUCCAGGAAAAUAUAUUCCAUAGCACUCUGAAAGCAAAAAUACUGUAUUUAAAUGAGAUUCACAGCAGUAUGUUUUAUUGACUUUGAGAGACAGAUUCAGAAAAAGAGGGUUGCCAGGCUGAGACUAAUAGCUGCAUUCAACAUACUGAAAUUUACACUAGUUUACAUUUUAAGUAAGAACUCCAUCUGUAGGGGGAAAAUAGCACUUAAACACACAUUACUUUAUUGUAUAGUGCCACCUAGGGGUUAAAAGCUUUUAAACUUCAGAGUGGCAAAGGUUAGGAAGCCCUAUUUAAUAGCAGUGAAAGUAUUUCUUACAUUAAAUCAUUUGUAUUUUGAAAUUUGCUGGGCAAACAAAGUGCUGCUGAGAUUUCCAUACUGUUGUAUAUGGCAAAAGAAUUGUAACUUCCACAGUUCCCUUUGGAGCUGGACACGCUUUUCUCUCUUUCAUAGUCUGGCAGUGAUUGGGGAAGUUGCAAAUCCUGAUUUUCUCCUCUACUAGCCAGGUCUUGCUGGUAUGAUCAGUGGAGAGGUUAUCUGCUGCUGCAAGGCCGGGUAGGAGAUUGCUGUGUUGUUGGGUUUGAGUCUGCAAGAACUUAAAAUAGAGCCUUGAAAAGUUUGCUUUGUGAGGCAGAGAGGAAACCCUGGCCUACUUCUACUUAAUCUAGCCUAGUACAGGAAGGUACUAUACAAGGGAGGAAUGAGAUGCUGUGACUAUUCUCUGUCUGUGAGCAGGUAUGCCUUAUUCCUCCUGAAACUUCCCCCCUUCUCCCUUGCACAUUACGAAUUCCAGUUGGCUCCUUUUGGCUUCUUUUGAUUUAGCUUAGAAAUGGGCAAAAGAAACCUAGAAAAACCUGUGCGUCUCUGAACCAUGUUUGGUUUUUUUUCAAACUGACUUUUGGUUUAAAAGCCUGAAUUGUGGUCAGUUCUUUCCUGAAAAAACAAAACUCCAGAAGAGGUAGUAUUUUAGAAGGAUUUUUUUUCACACGCUUUUUUUAUUCUUUCAAAUGGUAUUUGAUUUUUUUCUGUAUCUUCCACAGCAGAUGGCGUACCUGCCUCACUGAGACCAGAGAUUCUUUCUGUGAUCUGCUCACUUGGCAAGGUCUGUUCCACCUCAGGCAGAAUGCAAAUUAUAGAUACAUGUAGUCAAGAAACUCUCUCCCCUGUCCUUAGAGGAAGGUAGUGAUUCUAUCACGGUAUUUUUCAAGGAAAAAUGUCAAUAACAUUUUUGAUUGCAUGGCUGUAUGCUUGAACUGUAAUGCUAAUGAAGGGCAUAUCUCUCUUCCCUUCCUUCAGCACCCUCCACACAUAGGCAAUUAAGAUUUGAUUAUUAAUAAGAAGGAGGGGAAAACCUGAUUUUAUUUGUCUUAAGUUCCUUUUUAAAAUAAUUCAUACUGAAAAAAAAAAAAGGCCAGCUAACAAAAAUUGCUUUGUCUGUCCCUUAGAAAUGGAAAAAAAAAUCAUUUAUCUUGGAACUACAAGCCACAAACAUGGCAAAAUGACACUGGAAGAUACACCAAAGAGUGCUGUAAGUACCCCUCAGGUAAACAAGCCCUGCGGUAAAAUCGUAGUGUGACAGAUAAAGCAAACUCUUAUGACUGUCCUCUACAUGUCAUGAUGUAGAAGAGAUGAGGAGCUGGAUACCAGGGCUGCCGUACUUAAAGCUGAAUGAGCUUUGACAAAAUUAUUAAAGAAAAAUGACAGGAGGGAAUAGUAAAUUCAUUGUGGUGCCCACCUUGAUGCGGAAUACUCCGGAACAAGCAGACUACUGCUUAGAUACUGGCAGUAAACUCUGUACCAAGCCUGAGAGAGAGGCAGACGUACAUUCACAUCAGGUCCGCAUUAGACAUCCGUGCUCCGUCGCUCAGGGUGGAUUUCUGGUGACUUUCUUAUUUUGAUAAAAGUCAUAGAGAAUAUGAAGUUACACCAGUAGUACAGUGCUUUUGCCUUUAUAGGUCCUAUUGCUUACCAAAACAGCAUGAUUUUUACAUAUAUUUAUGUAUCUAUGGGUAUAUAAAUACACAUAAAAAUAAAUAAAUAAAUAAAAUGCCAGCAUAAAUAAAUAAUUACACCAGUAAAUAUAUACACAUUAGGAGGGCUUGCUAUUACAACUUUAUUGGCAGAUAUUCUCGGAUACAUACAUGGCCCAAUGGUCUGGGCCAGCAGCUCUUUCUCACAAAAGAUAUAACAAAUUCAGAGACUUGGAAUAAGAUACUUAUGAAUAAGGAUUGCAGGAUUCUCUCAUAUAUCUAUCUGUCUAAAAGAAAGUCUGACGAUGAGUGUUUAGUGAAGAGGAAUUGGAGAAGUGUUGAUUAAUAGAAGUCAUUAAACAUAAUUUGGAGCAUUCAGAAUUUCAAUUACAAAAUAAAAAGAACCAUCUUGCUCUUGAAAUUCCUGAAAUCAUGUUUUCAGAAUCUUUCAUUUUACAGGGCCUGGCUCAUUAAAAGCUGCAAUGGUUUAAAGGUGUUCAGUGCUGAUGUGCCUAAAUGUCUGUUUCUUUCCAACUGUACCCCUCUGUUAAACAAAGUAUCACCUUUCCUUACAAACCUUUCCUCUCUGAGGUGCCUGACAGUAGAGUCAGGGAAAACAUCGUAGCUGGAGACCUACUCCAAGAAGAAAUCCUACUUCUACUAAAUGGCUUUUGCCAUCGACUUC